CCUACGGGCGGCUUCAGUGAGGAAUAUUGGUCAAUGGACGAGAGUCUGAACCAGCCAAGUAGCGUGAAGGAUGACUGCCCUAUGGGUUGUAAACUUCUUUUAUAUGGGAAUAAAAUGUUCCACGUGUGGGAUUUUGUAUGUACUAUAUGAAUAAGGAUCGGCUAACUCCGUGCCAGCAGCCGCGGUAAUACGGAGGAUCCGAGCGUUAUCCGGAUUUAUUGGGUUUAAAGGGAGCGUAGGUGGAUUGUUAAGUCAGUUGUGAAAGUUUGCGGCUCAACCGUAAAAUUGCAGUUGAAACUGGCAGUCUUGAGUACAGUAGAGGUGGGCGGAAUUCGUGGUGUAGCGGUGAAAUGCUUAGAUAUCACGAAGAACUCCGAUUGCGAAGGCAGUUCACUGGACUGCAACUGACACUGAGGCUCGAAAGUGUGGGUAUCAAACAGGAUUAGAUACCCGAGUAGUC
rnacentral:rRNA from 1 species